rnacentral:rRNA from 1 species
GUAGGUGGCAAGCGUUGUCCGGAAUUAUUGGGCGUAAAGCGCGCGCAGGCGGUCCUUUAAGUCUGAUGUGAAAUCUCGUGGCUCAACCACGAGCGGCCAUUGGAAACUGGGGGACCUGAGUACAGAAGAGGAGAGUGGAAUUCCAUGUGUAGCGGUGAAAUGCGUAGAUAUAUGGAGGAACACCAGUGGCGAAGGCGACUCUCUGGUCUGUAACUGACGCUGAGGCGCGAAAGCGUGGGGAGCAAACAGGAUUAGAUACCCUGGUAGUCCACGCCCGUAAACGAUGAGUGCUAGGUGUUAGGGGUUUCGAUGCCCUUAGUGCCGAAGUUAACACAUUAAGCACUCCGCCUGGGGAGUACGACCGCAAGGUUG